rnacentral:pre_miRNA from 1 species
UCGCGACGCCCGGGUCGCGGGAAUGCUGCGGGGUCGCUGGAGCGUUCCGGCGACCCCGCAGCAUUCCGGCGAUUUCGGCGUACAGC